AACGAACGCUGGCGGCAGGCUUAACACAUGCAAGUCGAGCGCCCAGCAAGGGGAGCGGCAGACGGGUGAGUAACGCGUGGGAACGUACCCUUUGCUACGGAAUAACUCAGGGAAACUUGUGCUAAUACCGUAUGUGCCCUUCGGGGGAAAGAUUUAUCGGCAAAGGAUCGGCCCGCGUUGGAUUAGCUAGUUGGUGGGGUAAAGGCCUACCAAGGCGACGAUCCCUAGCUGGUCUGAGAGGAUGAUCAGCCACACUGGGACUGAGACACGGCCCAGACGCCUGCGGGGGGAAGCAGUGGGGAAGAUUGGACAAUGGGCGCAAGCCUGACCGAGCCGUGCCUCGUGAGUGAUGAAGGCCCUAGGGUUGUAAAGCUCUUUCACCGGUGAAGAUAAUGACGGUAACCGGAGAAGAAGCCCCGGCUAACUUCGUGCCAGCCGCCGCGGUAACAC
rnacentral:rRNA from 1 species